rnacentral:rRNA from 1 species
CAGCAGCCGCGGUAAGACGAACCGUGCGAACGUUAUUCGGAUUUAUUGGGCGUAAAGGGUGCGUAGGCGGUUUGGCAAGUCUUGUGUGAAAUCUUCGGGCUCAACCCGAGGCCUGCACGAGAAACUACCGGGCUUGAGUAUUGGAGAGGUGAGUGGAAUUUCCGGUGUAGCGGUGAAGUGCGUAGAUAUCGGAAGGAACACCUGUGGCGAAAGCGGCUCACUGGACCAUUUCUGACGCUGAUGCACGAGAGCUAGGGGAGCAAACAGGAUUAGAUACCCCCGUAGUCCCUGUCUCUUAUAC